GGAUGAGAAGCUUGCUUCUCUGAUGUUAGCGGCGGAUGGGUGAGUAACACGUGGGCAACCUGCCCUGCAGAUGGGGAUAACUCCGGGAAACCGGGGCUAAUACCGAAUAAUCAGUUGGUUCGCAUGAACCAACUCUGAAAGACGGUUUCGGCUGUCACUGCAGGAUGGGCCCGCGGCGCAUUAGCUAGUUGGUGGGGUAAUGGCCUACCAAGGCGACGAUGCGUAGCCGACCUGAGAGGGUGAUCGGCCACACUGGGACUGAGACACGGCCCAGACUCCUACGGGAGGCAGCAGUAGGGAAUCUUCCACAAUGGACGAAAGUCUGAUGGAGCAAUGCCGCGUGAGCGAAGAAGGUUUUCGGA
rnacentral:rRNA from 1 species